AAAGAGAGGAGUGGCAGCAGGUGUUAGCUCAGGGCUAAUCUUCCUCAAAAAAAAAAAAAAUUCAGAUUUCCAGCAUCUCUUAAAAUGUUAGGUGAGGUGGCAGCGUUGGGCCUGCACUUUCACAGUGGCAACAAUUGGUAGAGCUGAACAGCAAGUGCCCUUUAGUCAAACAAACACAAACUCUCUUGCUUGCCUCAGUCCCCACCACUCCCUACUGUCACACAGAGGUCAAGAAACAGCCACUAUUCAUCAUUGGCUCUGUGCUUGCUUUUCUUCCUGGAGGGUUAAGUGGUAAAUAAGACCUUUCUCAUGUGACAUCUCUUUCGAGAGUGGGAAAGGAAAAGAUGCACCGGGAUGGCUCUGGGCCUCGAGAAACCAGCCCACCUUCCUCCUUCAUCGAGGUUACCGCCUGACACUGGGUGCACGGCCGCUGCCUCCAGAGUAGAGAGCGAGCUCUAGAAGGGGAGAGACGGGGAAGAAGCUGGGGGGUGGGAAGGCAGGGUUUAAACUUUAUCUAUAGCGAUUUGUUUUUCUUUUUAAGGGCGAUCUGGAUCAAAUAAGGCAAAAUUUUUCCCUUUGUUAAAUCUGGAUGAUGGGAACAUAGGCAUAUUCUGACCUCUGCUAUAUGUUUACCAUGUUUCCUAUUAAAAAUGUCAGAAUCGAAAAGGAAACUGCUCAGCGUCCUCAGUGGGGCGGCGCCGAGCGGGGGGCUGGGGGGAGGGUCAGGAAGGCGGCCCACGGAGCGGGGGCGGCUGGGCCUCGAAGACUGGGAGGCUCUGACUCGAGGAGUGGAGGGCGCUGGGUCCAGGUCUCCAGGGAAGCGGCAAGCAGGGCCAGGGAGGAGGGGCCGAGCUGAAAGAGGGCAUUCUGGGGAGGCUGGGGAGGGGUGUGGGGAGGGGCUCAUGGGGUGGGGUGGGGACACCCUGACACCUGGCCGCCCUCGCCCCCCAGGCCCACCCUUGGCUCUGCGCGGACCGGCAGUGUUUCUAAGGAUGCGGGCCUAUUUUUAGAGCAGAGAUUUAUUUCUUUCCAUUUCAACUGUUUACUUCUGUCCUGGGCUUGCGAAUCUGCCGGUUUGUGUUACAGGAGAACCACGCCCCGUGGACGGAACCUGGCGGCCUCCUGCUUGCAGCACACCAUCUGGGGUGUGAGUAGGGAGGGUCUGACGAUUCUGUGGAGUCUGGUGGGAAGCCAUGCCGUGUGACAGCAAGUCCCAGGUUCUCGUCCUGGGUCUGCUGCUGACUUGCUGUGUGACCCUGAACAAGUCCUUUCCCUUUUCCGGGCUUCAGAGUUUUUGUUGUUUUGAUUUUUCACCACUAAAGUGGUGGUAACAAUACUUACCUCAAAGCGUUGGAACAACACGCGCGGGGACCCGUCAAUCAGGGUUUCUCCGCCCACGCCAAGUCUGUACGCACAGGGGCCAGGGGUGGGGGGGGUUUCACCGCGGCUCAGGGUCCUUCCAGCUCUGAGAUCCCACAGUUCCAGGUUUUCCCCUCCAUCGUUUCUUCCUGCAGGUCAUGGCUCCUUGUUGUCAGAACUCUUGACACAUUCUGGGCCAAGAGGGGCAGGUCUGCCUGGAUUUUGUCCAUCACCUACUAGCUGUGUGACUCUGGGGACCCGUCUCCUUUCCUUGGAACAACUUUAACCCUGGCCUGUGGGGAUCGGACCCAUAGGGGCCUGUGGAGAUUGUAUGAGACGCUGCCCACAGAGCACGGCAUGGCGCCUGGCAUGCAGGAAGACCUGAGGAGGGGAGAGAAAGGAGUCUUUGAAAAUGUCCAUUUUGAAACCACAAUGGAACAAGAAUCCCAGGUCUCGGAUUGCCCACCUUGCUCCCCAGUCCAAACGCACGUCCACCUCGUCCUGCCAGAGUGGGAGGCGCACACACGUUGGAGCCUGUUUGAGAUCUGAGUCUCUGCACCUGCUCCCGUGAGGCUGCGCAAGUCAGUCAGCUCCCUGCUUCUCCAUCCCUCCGCGGACACAAGCGCACCUUCUCCUUAAUCACCUGUGAGCAGGGCUCCGGGGUGCUGCCGGGUGAGAGGUGCAGGGGCCCUGGGAAUCUGCUGCUGGGCCAGGUGCCCUGACAGCUGCGGUGGGGGCGCUGUGGGAGCUCUUGGCCCAUUUAGAAAUGAAACAAGCUCCCACCCUGGGUUCCGACAGGGCUCCGCCAUCAGCCCCUCCCCACUCCCGGGUUGGAUGCUUGGCUCUGACCUGUCACCACCCACCCAAUUUGCAGCCACAGCCUAAUUUAAAUUCAUUCCCACCUGGCAGCUCAGAGCAGCUCAACAGCCCAAAGGCCAGACGCAGCGGGCCCUGUGGGGCCCCGGGGGUCUGCGUCUCUCUGCCCUGGGAACGGGAGACUGUGCAGUAUGUGCACUAUGGCAGAAGGGCUGCGGAGAGGCCCGGGGCCCUUCCUCAUCUUCGGGAAGGAACUCUCCCACCCCUGGCUGGGCAGGAUGACGGGCUCCUGUGUGAGCCCCUUCUACCUCUCACUGGCUCCCCGGAACCUCCUCCCGGCCAUCUGUCCUCAGUCGGCAAGCCCCCCGAGUCACUGCACGUCGAGGGCCCCUGGACCUACUGAGAAAAGUCCGAACUCUUCAGCCCGCCUUGCCCCCCACCUGUCCCCAUUAUCUGCUCCAAACCCCUUUCCAGCUCCUCUAACCCUCCACAGACACCACACGAUGUCCCGGCCCCAGUUACCUUCCAGGCACGAGACUUUGCUGAUGGCCUCCAUUCGGCCAAGAAUCCUUUCUUUUUAUUCUUGGCUUAGAAAACCUCAGGGCCCAGUUCCACUCUCACCUGCUCUUGGAAGCCUGCCACCAGUAAGGAUUCACCCUGUCCCUGCGCUCCUGUCGGCCCCUUUAGGAAGGAGUCGGUCAGGCCUGCUGCCCCUCGGACCGAGCAUCUGGCGGGCAGAGUGCCAGCAGGCUGCCCUGUUGGUGGCAGCGCAGGGCCUGUGCUGGCAGGGAACGGAGCAUGUCUGUGGGAUUGACUAGAAGUAGCUACAUGCCCCUGCUGUUCUCACUCUUUAAAGCUGUUUGUUCUUGUAAUUCUGCGCGACAGUGAUCCAGGAUAGAAUUAGAACAGGAUAAUGUUGCAGCGAAAGGCUGGGAGCUUGAUCGUUUCUUGCCUAUGUCGCUUAUUUUUACUGAAACCCAGGCUACUGGGGAGCAACCCAAGGUCCUCCCACCAGCGCUGCCUUCUCAUCCACCUGAGCAGCCUCAUUGCGGGGGCAGGGGGAAGUGGUGAACAGCAAGAUGAGGACACACUGCUGGAGGGAUUUGUCAUUCUAUGGGGCCUAGGACCUGGGACCCCAGUCGAGGAUUCUGGGUUAUCUAGAAAGAAGCCAUUUAAUUGCAUCUGGAGAUAAGAUCAGGUUAUAAGCUCAUGGAAGCUCAGCCCUGAAAGGGACCAACCAAUGCCAUCAUUUCAUGACCUAGGGAAGGACAGCAACUGGCCCAGGGUCACAUGGAGUGGAAGGGACAGGGCCAAGGCUGAACUGGACCUCUGACCUCUAGUCCUGCAUUUUUUCCUGCUAACCUCCUCUCCCUCUACAUGAGCUACAAUCACUCAAAGGCUAGCGAAAUGGUAGAGCUAUGUUCCUUUCUUUACGGAUGACUGUUAAACUAGAGUUGAGCAACGAUAGGUCAAAAAAAAAGUGUGAAAUGUUCCAUUUUUAAUUAAAAAAUAUAUCAAAUGGAAAAUUCACUGAAUUCACUGACAUUCAUUACCUACCUUCUCUGUGCUGGGCAUUGACCUGGGUACCUGGGAUAUAGAUAUAGGAUGAAGGCCCCGUCUAGUAGGACCCAGGAGUCCCACCCUCAGCCCUGCUAACGGCUCCAGAGUGGCUGGCCAACCACAGACGUGACCAGGGAGCCUCCUGCCUCUUGAUGCUGUGGUCCUGACUGCAGAGGCAAAUUCGGAGCAUUAAACACACUUAUUAAACGUGCCAACUAGGAGAUGCAAUGAUAAAAACAUCAAACAGGUGAAAGGGAUCCUUCUGGUCCUUUAUUUCUCAGUCAAUUCAUUCCAUGACACAUUGGCCACCCUCUGAAGCAGCUGGCUAGACAGCAGGGUGGAGUGGGCGAUUCCCUGCAGGGCUGGGGCACGUUCUCCAGGGGGCUGUGUCUGCUCUGAACCAGUGUCCAGUAGACGGUGCUGCUUCCCCCAUAGCCAGGACUCACAGUUCCAGGAUUCAAGGGUGGAAGUGGGAGUGGCACCGCCCACUAUUACCCGUCAUGACCCACGGGCAAAAUGUUCACUGCCUGUUCCUGUGACCUUAUGCUCUGCUGGCCUAGAGGUCUUAGUUCCAGAGGAAGGAAUGCUUCCACCAGGAGACACAGCAAUGAUUCCAUUGGACUGGAAGUUAAGACUGCCACCCAGCCACUUUGGGCUUCUCAUGCCUCUGAAUCAAUGGGCAGAGAAGGUAUUUCUGUCCUGAGUGGGGUGAUUGAUCCUGAUUACCAAGGGGAAACUGGACUGUUGCUGCGCGAUGGAGGUGAGAAGGCGUGUGUCUGCAAUCUAAGAGAGUCCUCAGGGCUUUCUCAGUGUCACUGUGCCCUGCGAUUAAUGUCAAUGGAAAACUACAAGAACCCAGUCCAGCAGGACUACUGACUCAGUGGCCCAGGCCCUUCCAGAACAAAGGUGUAGCUCGUCCUACCUGGGAAAACACCACAACCAGCUGAGAUGCUGCUGGGGGCAAAGGGAAUACAGACUGGGUAGAUGUAAAUAUCACUAUGGCCAUGGGACCAGUCAGAGAAACAAGGACUGUAACUGUCGCAGAGUAUUUCCUCCUUAUUUUGUUAUGAAUGUGUUUGUGUGUACGUGUGUAUUAAGCAAAUAUCUUUGUUUUCUUCUCCUAUUCUCCUAUCAUGUAACAUAAGAUAUAUUGAUUUUA